UACGGGGGGGGCAAGCGUUGUUCGGAAUUACUGGGCGGAAAGGGCUCGUAGGCGGCCAACUAAGUCGGAUGUGAAAUCCCCAAGCUUAACUUGGGAACUGCAUCCGAUACUGGAUGGCUUGAAUCCGGGAGAGGGAUGCAGAAUUCCAGGUGUAGCGGUGAAAUGCGUAGAUAUCUGGAGGAAUACCGGUGGCGAAGGCGGCAUCCUGGACCGGCAUUGACGCUGAGGAGCGAAAGCUAGGGGAGCAAACGGG
rnacentral:rRNA from 1 species